GAUGAACGCUGGCGGCGUGCCUAAUACAUGCAAGUCGAGCGAACGGACGAGAAGCUUGCUUCUCUGAUGUUAGCGGCGGACGGGUGAGUAACGCGUGGAUAACCUACCUAUAAGACUGGGAUAACUUCGGGAAACCGGAGCUAAUACCGGAUAAUAUUUUGAACCGCAUGGUUCAAUAGUGAAAGACGGUCUUGCUGUCACUUAUAGAUGGAUCCGCGCUGCAUUAGCUAGUUGGUAAGGUAACGGCUUACCAAGGCAACGAUGCAUAGCCGACCUGAGAGGGUGAUCGGCCACACUGGAACUGAGACACGGUCCAGACUCCUACGGGAGGCAGCAGUAGGGAAUCUUCCGCAAUGGGCGAAAGCCUGACGGAGCAACGCCGCGUGAGUGAUGAAGGUCUUCGGAUCGUAAAACUCUGUUAUUAGGGAAGAACAUAUGUGUAAGUAACUGUGCACGUCUUGACGGUACCUAAUCAGAAAGCCACGGCUAACUACGUG
rnacentral:rRNA from 1 species